rnacentral:rRNA from 1 species
AUACGGAGGGGGUUAGCGUUGUUCGGAAUUACUGGGCGUAAAGCGUACGUAGGCGGACCAUUAAGUUAGGGGUGAAAUCCCAGGGCUCAACCCUGGAACUGCCUCUAAAACUGCUGGUCUUGAGAUCGUGAGAGGUGAGUGGAAUUCCGAGUGUAGAGGUGAAAUUCGUAGAUAUUCGGAGGAACAUCAGUGGCGAAGGCGGCUCACUGGCACGAUACUGACGCUGAGGUACGAAAGUGUGGGGAGCAAACAGGAUUAGAUACCCUAGUAGUCC